UACGAAGGGGCGAGCGUUGUUCGGAAUUACUGGGCGUAAAGGGCGCGUAGGCGGCCGAUCAAGUCAGAUGUGAAAGUCCUGGGCUUAACCUGGGGACUGCAUUUGAUACUGAUUGGCUUGAAUGCAGGAGAGGAUAGCGGAAUUCCCAGUGUAGAGGUGAAAUUCGUAGAUAUUGGGAAGAACACCGGUGGCGAAGGCGGCUAUCUGGACUGUGAUUGACGCUGGAGGCGCGAAAGCGUGGGAGCAAACAGG
rnacentral:rRNA from 1 species